rnacentral:rRNA from 1 species
AGUAACACGUGGAUAACCUACCUAUAAGACUGGGAUAACUUCGGGAAACCGGAGCUAAUACCGGAUAAUAUUUUGAACCGCAUGGUUCAAAAGUGAAAGACGAUCUUGCUGUCACUUAUAGAUGGAUCCGCGCUGCAUUAGCUAGUUGGUAAGGUAACGGCUUACCAAGGCAACGAUGCAUAGCCGACCUGAGAGGGUGAUCGGCCACACUGGAACUGAGACACGGUCCAG